GGUUGGAUGUUCUUUGCGAGGCUGCUGAGUCAGAAGCCUGGACGGGCCAGCUGCAGUCUUAAUGAACUGACUCAGGAAGGAAGUGCUUACAGAGAUGGUGUACCGUGCAGUCAGUGGGUGGGAGCAAAUGUCGGCUAGAAGACCUGAGCCUUGGGAAGGGGCGGCCUGAUUCCCCGGGGAAGAGCAUUGGCUGGAAGUCUGGAGGCCUGGGCUGGUCUCUGCUCUGCCACUAACUUGCUGCAUGACUUUGAGCCAGAAAAAGAGGGAUCACUCACCCAUUCUCCAUCAGAUACUAAGCUGCUGACUGCCUCAAGGACGAACUUCUCUCCCUUGGCUUUCCAGGCUUGGCCAGAUAGGUAGAGAGAACAUGGACGAACAUUUACCGUGUCAGGCAUGGAGCAGAUUGCCUUAUAUAGUUUUCUCAUCUAAUUCCCAGGACCACCCUCUGAAGCAGGAACUAUUGUUACCGCUGCUUUAUAGACAAAGCGACCUAAGGAACCAAAAGCAUCCAGUUCAGCACCUGGCCCACAGCAGACACUCAGUGAAUGUUGAUUUGAGCAAAUGAACUGAUAGAAAGAAAUGUCUCCUGUAAUUGCUUCUUACCAAUCUAGCCAACAACGGCAGCAUUGUGGAUGGAGGCACCAGAGAACACAUCAUCUCUGGCUUUUUGCUGCAGAUCUACAUGGAGAAUCACACAUGGGGCGACAAAGAUUCUCAAGGCCAGAUCCCGCAGAAAUGUCUGAAAGGAAACUUUAAAAAAUGAAUCCGUACGGGUUUUUUGUUGUUGUUGUUGUUGCAGCAUUGUCUAAUAUCAUAUGACUGGAAACAACCUAAAUGUUCGUCAAUAGGGAACUAGUUAAAUAAGUUAUGGUAUAUCAUCAUACAGUGGAAUACUAUGCAGUUGUAAAAAAAAAAAAAGAAAGAAUAAAGAAGCAUUUGCUGACAUGGAAUGAUCUCCAAAAUAUAUUGUUAAAUGAAAAAACAAAGACGUAGAACAAUGUAUUGUAUACUACUGUGUGUAAAGUAAGGGUGGAGGAGAAUAUCUAUGUACUUGCUUGAAUGCACGUAAAGGCAUCUCUGCAAGAGAUCUAAGAGACUGACGACACCGGGUGACAAUGGAGGACUGGGAGAAAGCAGUGGACGGGAGACUUUGCGUUGCACAUUCGUUCUCUUACGCCAUUUACCUUUGUAACCAUGUGAAUGUAUUAUGUGGCCAAAAAUAAAUGUAAAAAGAACGAAAUCACA